CUGUUUUUCGACAAAGUCUCUGGGUGCUGCAUCUCGGAUCUCCCCGUGGAGAUCUUCCUUGCCUCCACAGAAGCCUGUUCCUCUGGUUUCCUGCAUCUCCCUGUCAUCAGACCCUCUGUUCCUCUGCUCCACCCGUCCACUGCUCUACAGUGCUGUGUUUGAUGACCUCUCCCUUAGCUGAAACCAGUAUCUGAAAAAAUAAACUUUGUUUUCCUUUUUAUA